AAUUACCCACUCCCGGCACGGGGAGGUAGUGACGAAAAAUAACGAUACGGGACUCAUCCGAGGCCCCGUAAUCGGAAUGAGUACACUCUAAACCCUUUAACGAGUAUCCAUUGGAGGGCAAGUCUGGUGCCAGCAGCCGCGGUAAUUCCAGCUCCAAUAGCGUAUAUUAAAGUUGUUGCGGUUAAAAAGCUCGUAGUUGGAUUUGUGUCUCACGCUGUCGGUUCACCGUUCGUCGGUGUUAACUGGCAUGCCUGUGCGGACGUCCUGCCGGUGGAUGCGGUCGGCCGUGGGCCUCUGGUCUGCGUGUCGGCGGUCCGAUGCAAUCCUACCGCGGUGCUCUUCACCGAGUGUCGAGGUGGGCCGGCACGUUUACUUUGAACAAAUUAGAGUGCUCAAAGCAGGCAGUGGUUCGCCUGAAUAUUGUGUGCAUGGAAUAAUGGAAUAGGACCUCGGUUCUAUUUUGUUGGUUUUCGGAACCUGAGGUAAUGAUUAAUAGGGACAGACGGGGGCAUUCGUAUUGCGACGUUAGAGGUGAAAUUCUUGGAUCGUCGCAAGACGAACCUAAGCGAAAGCAUUUGCCAUGAGUGUUUUCAUUAAUCAAGAACGAAAGUUAGAGGUUCGAAGGCGAUCAGAUACCGCCCUAGUUCUAACCAUAAACGAUGCCAGCUAGCGAUCCGCCGAAGUUCCUCCGAUGACUCGGCGGGCAGCUUCCGGGAAACCAAAGCUUUUGGGUUCCGGGGGAAGUAUGGUUGCAAAGCUGAAACUUAAAGGAAUUGACGGAAGGGCACCACCAGGAGUGGAGCCUGCGGCUUAAUUUGACUCAACACGGGAAACCUCACCAGGCCCGGACACCGGAAGGAUUGACAGAUUGAUAGCUCUUUCUUGAUUCGGUGGGUGGUGGUGCAUGG
rnacentral:rRNA from 1 species